GACCCGUUGGCAGAGAGGCUUAUGCAUCGGUCUGCAAAACCGAUUAGGAGGGUUCGACUCCCUCACGGGUCU
rnacentral:tRNA from 1 species